UAUUAAAGAAAAACCUAAAAAAUUAAUUUGACUCAUUCACUCGUAUUUUCUAAUCGCUCUAAUCAGAAAACCCUUUUACAAUGCUAAAAAACCACUCAUAUCUUUAUGUCUCGUCGUCCGCUGUCUGCCGCUCCAUCUUAUCUCGUUGUCCUCCCUGCAAUCAACAGUAAGGGGUUAUCGUCUGAAGCGGCAUCUUUUGUACGUGCGUCGCAGAUUUCACUUCCAGCACCAAUUUCAACUGGAACUAAGGUGCCUCCAGUAGUCAAUUAUUCCCCUCUAGCAUCGUUUAGUUGGGAUCAAAAUAAUGAAAAAGUAAAUGUUUGUAAAUCACGUAUAGUAAUUAUUGGAGACGUUUUUCAUGUUGUAUUCUUUUAAGUUUGUUUAAUUUUUUCAUUUUAUAUCGUGUUGUAGUAUAAUUUGUUAAAUGGGAGCUAAUUGAACCUACGAAGUUUUAUUGUAUUUCAUCUCAUUCUAUCAUGUUUUAUUGUA